AACAAGGAUUCCCCUAGUAACGGCGAGUGAAGCGGGAAGAGCUCAAAUUUGAAAUCUGGUGGCCUCAGGUCAUCCGAGUUGUAAUCUAUAGAAGUGUUUUCCGUGCUGGCUCAUGUACAAGUCCCUUGGAACAGGGCGUCAUAGAGGGUGAGAAUCCCGUCCUUGACAUGAACUACCAGUGCUCUGUGAUACAUUUUCAACGAGUCGAGUUGUUUGGGAAUGCAGCUCAAAAUGGGUGGUAAAUUCCAUCUAAAGCUAAAUAUUGGCGAGAGACCGAUAGCGAACAAGUACCGUGAGGGAAAGAUGAAAAGCACUUUGGAAAGAGAGUUAAACAGUAUGUGAAAUUGUUGAAAGGGAAACGAUUGAAGUCAGUCGUGCUCUUUGGAUUCAGCCGGUUCUGCCGGUGUACUUCCUUUGAGUGGGGUCAACAUCAGUUUUGAUCGCUGGAUAAAGGCUGGAGGAACGUAGUACCCUCGGGUAAACUUAUAGCCUCCUGUCACAUACAGUGGUUGGGACUGAGGAACGCAGCACGCCUUUAUGGCCGGGAUUCGUCCACGUA
rnacentral:rRNA from 1 species